GGACGUUUUCCUAAAGGAAAUGGGGAGCCGUGAGAGGACUUUAUACAGAGGAAUGCUAAUUUCAGCACCAGACCCCUAGUCAUCCAGAUUAGCCAGUCUGAUUCAUUCCAUCCUCUCCCCGGUUUCCUCAGAUACAGUGAGUUGCCACAUCUGCUUCUCCCACAUUUGCUGCAUUGCUCCCUCCUCCCAAGCGAACCAUUGUCUCCCACGUGAACUCAUUGCCUCCCACGUGGACUAUUGCAACGCUAUGGAUCCCUGCUCAACUUCAGUUCCACUAAUACUCGCACUGCUGCCAAGGUAACAGAGAAUUAUUCUAAUCACGAGUUCUCCACAAUCUGUCUGCAGUGCUGUGCAUUUGUCAGACCUCACCCUGAUCCUAUGAAAUGUCAGUAAGCUGCCUGGAAGAAAGAACUCACAUGGUUGACAAAACCCUCUCAGAUGGGUCAGUUACACUGAAAGUAAAUAUAGCCCCAAACUCGUGUAUCCCGGAGACCCAGGCCAGCUCCCUGAGACUUUUCACCUUUAUUUCCGCAACUACAAAAUGGGCAUGACUGCAAAUCAUGCUCCUUCCUGCAAAGGGCUUUUAUAAAAUAUCAUGAGAAAAUAUUGACAAAACAUUGUGAAUUCGUGGUUAAAAUAUUCCUGGAACAUCUCAGUGGAUAUAGAAUUUGGGGUUUAAAGAUCAAAGAAUGAAGUCUGAUAAAUGAUACAUUUCAGUUUUUGGCAUCUUUCUCUCAGCUUUCAUGAUUCCUGGAAUUAUUCUGCACAUCCAGUUUUUCUUUUAACAACUAUUUUUAUGGUAUUUUUUUUCAGAAACCAUAUUACUGGUCUCUUCAAUGUCCUGUAAACUCUAAUCUGU
rnacentral:lncRNA from 1 species